rnacentral:rRNA from 1 species
GACGAACGCUGGCGGCGUGCUUAACACAUGCAAGUCGAACGGAGAGGCCCUGCUUUUGUGGGGUGCUCGAGUGGCGAACGGGUGAGUAACACGUGAGUAACCUGCCCUUGACUUUGGGAUAACUUCAGGAAACUGGGGCUAAUACCGGAUAGGAGCUCCUGCUGCAUGGUGGGGGUUGGAAAGUUUCGGCGGUUGGGGAUGGACUCGCGGCUUAUCAGCUUGUUGGUGGGGUAGUGGCUUACCAAGGCUUUGACGGGUAGCCGGCCUGAGAGGGUGACCGGCCACAUUGGGACUGAGAUACGGCCCAGACUCCUACGGGAGGCAGCAGUGGGGAAUAUUGCACAAUGGGCGGAAGCCUGAUGCAGCAUCGCCGCGUGCGGGAUGACGGCCUUCGGGUUGUAAACCGCUUUCGCCUGUGACGAAGCGUGAGUGACGGUAAUGGGUAAAGAAGCACCGGCUAACUACGUG